rnacentral:rRNA from 1 species
CGCUGGCGGCGUGCUUAACACAUGCAAGUCGAACGAUGACCCCGUGCUUGCACGGGUGAUUAGUGGCGAACGGGUGAGUAACACGUGAGUAACCUGCCCCUGACUCUGGGAUAAGCCCGGGAAACUGGGUCUAAUACUGGAUAUGACCUUUAACCGCAUGGUUUUUGGUGGAAAGAUUUAUCGGUUGGGGAUGGACUCGCGGCCUAUCAGCUUGUUGGUGAGGUAAUGGCUCACCAAGGCGACGACGGGUAGCCGGCCUGAGAGGGUGACCGGCCACACUGGGACUGAGACACGGCCCAGACUCCUACGGGAGGCAGCAGUGGGGAAUAUUGCACAAUGGGCGAAAGCCUGAUGCAGCGACGCCGCGUGAGGGAUGACGGCCUUCGGGUUGUAAACCUCUUUCAGUAGGGAAGAAGCGAAAGUGACGGUNCCUGCAGAAGAAGCGCCGGCUAACUACGUGCCAGCAGCCGCGGUAAUACGUAGGGCGCAAGCGUUAUCCGGAUUUAUUGGGCGUAAAGAGCUCGUAGGCGGUUUGUCGCGUCUGCCGUGAAAGUCCGAGGCUCAACCUCGGAUCUGCGGUGGGUACGGGCAGACUAGAGU